AUUGAACGCUGGCGGCAGGCCUAACACAUGCAAGUCGAACGAGUGGCGGACGGGUGAGUAAUGUCUGGGAAACUGCCUGAUGGAGGGGGAUCACUACUGGAAACGGUAGCUAAUACCGCAUACCAUCAGAUGUGCCCAGUAGGGAUUAGCUAGUAGGUGGGGUAACGGCUCACAUAGGCGACGAUCCCUAGCUGGUCUGAGAGGACUACCAGCGAGACUGGUAGCGAGACACGGUCGAGACGCCUACGUGAGGAAGCAGUGGGGAAUAUUACACAAUGGGCGAAAGCCUGAUGCAGCCAUGCCGAGUGUGUGAAGAAGGCCUUCGGGUUGGAAAGCACUUUCAGCGGGGAGGCGUUACCCGCAGGAGAAGCACCGGCUAACUCCGUGCCAGCAGCCGCAGUAAUAC
rnacentral:rRNA from 1 species